UAUCCAAUUCUGAGUUUUUUUAAAAAAAAUCUUUUGCCACUUUGCCUACGUGAGUUACUAUAUGAGGUAGCCAGUGUGGACCAGUGAUAUGCAAUGUCUGUUUUGCCCCUCGCCUUCGUUUCUCUCCUUGGAGAUGAAACUCCCAAUUUAACCAGCCGUCUCUCCUCUCCGAAUCCGUUCGCUUGGCGGAUCAACUCGUUGGAUGCAAAUCCAAUUCCGAUCAGGAGUAGGCAUUCACUCUCGUUUCCUGCCGAUAUAACUGAGCGCUAGAUUGGCCAUCGACCACAUCACCAACAACUCUCGCCGCCUCACACUCGCAGAUCUGACAGUUGAUUUGGGGAAAAAAAAUUCAAAAAAUAAGGAGAAAAUCUUUUCGCCGCCGACGAGGAGGAGAGGGAUGUCGCGGCCGAGGACGACGAGAUGCCCAAAGCGGCCUGCGCCCCAGCUGGCCGUGGCUCCGUGCGCCGCCACCGCCAAGCGCCGCCGCCUCGCGCCCCCCGAGUCGCCGUGGGCGUCGUUGAACCCCGACCUCCUGCGGCUGGUCGCGGAGCGGGCGCUCGCCAGCGACCUCCUCGACUACGUCCGCCUCCGCGCCGUCUGCGCCGCCUGGCGCUCCGCCACCGCCUGCCCGCGCGGCCGCGGCAUCACCGACCCGCGCUUCCACCCGCGCCGCUGGAUGAUGUUCCCCGAGGGCCACGGCCUCCACCCCGGCCACGCCAAGCUCCGCGGGUUCGUCCGCUUCUUCAACCUCUCCACCGGCGCCCUCGCCCGCGCCAAGCUCCUGCUCUUCCAGGACCACAUGGUGCUCGACUCCGUCGACGGCCUCCUCCUGCUGCAGCGGGACCACGACACCGCCAUCCGCCUCCUCCACCCCUUCACCGGCGACAUCGCCGACCUCCCGCCCCUCGAGACCCUCCGGCCGCAGAUGGGUAACACCACAAACUCCGUUCUGUGGAAUUACAACGAAGAGAAGCACAGGAUAGGUUUCCUCAGAGAUGUCUGCGCUUCUGUCAGUGUUAACGACACUGGCAGCAUCACUGUCAUGCUGGCCUUCCACCUGUUCAACCGGGUAGCUUUCGCCGCCUCCGGCGACCUGCAAUGGACUCUGUCCAAAUGUUACUUUGGGCGCCCCUGCUGGAGGACAUUGUCAUACCAAGGGAAGCUGUUUAUGGUGAAGGCUAAGCACGAUAUAACCGGCAAUUCAGACAUUCUCCAGAUUGAUCCACCCAAUGAUCAGGAUGCUGAAGGCUCUCCUUUGCCAGAGAAGGAGCUGGCACCGAAGCUGGUUGCAACAAUUCCUAAGGACAAGCUGUUCGGCCCUUGUUUUCUGGCAGAAUGCGACUCGGAGAUACUGAUAAUUGGCCAUGACAGUAGACCCACAUCAUUAGACUCACAGACCAUGCUGCUGCCUUUUGCCUACAACGACAUUGGAAAUUACACUCACACUUCAGUGUAUAGGAUUUCUGACCUUACCUCAGGAAGAUUUAGUCCGGUGGCGAGCAUUGGUGACCAUGCCUUGUUCAUUGGUCCACGGACUAUCUGUGUCUCCUCUAAGGCACUUCCUACCAUUUUCUGUGGUGAUACUGGUGGUUAUAUAUUUCACACUCCUCCAACGGAAUUGUUCUUUACGCAAUACCACCUCAGCAGUCGUACCUGGUCACCUCUGAUUGAUGGAAGCAUUGGAAAUUCACCUCCACCUAGGCCGUAUAGCCUCAUUCACCAUAUCUUAACAUGUUGCUAUCGUAAAUAUUGGAAUAAGGGGCUGAUUUUUUACAGGGAGACAACACCUUCGUGGCGUGUUAAGCGAAAUUGCCGAGUUGGUGGCUAAAAGACUUGCAAUACGGAGUUUGGAACACAAAUCCUUUGUGGCGUGUAAAGCGAAAUUGCCGAGAUGGAGCCUGAAGGACUAUUGUGGAGUUAAAGUAUACGAUCCUAUUUUGUCGCUGUCAAAAACUCCAAAACCCUCAACUAUAUAUCUGAACUUUCUGAAUCCAUUUCGGGAUUACGCUACGAUGGAGAAAUCUUUAAAUUGGAGCUCAGGCAGUGUUUGGCAAAUAUCUAAGGGAAAUGAUUUCCCACCCCUCUUUAAAUCUUAACCAUUCAUUCUCCCUCAUCCAUUUAAUCCUAACCCUUCAUUCAAUUCCUAAUCCCAAUCCCACCUCUCAUUUCCCAUUAUCCAAACACACCCUCAAUUCAUGAAUAUGAGGAGAAGUCGGCUUGAACAUCGUGAAGAUGGAGAAUUUGUAAUCUCUUUGGUGAAGAUGGAGAAUGUGUAAUUUCUUAUCUAAGAGAUGAUAUAACACGUCAGCAAGAAUUUGCUGCAUAAAAGAACCUGGUUGCACAAAAUAGAAUAGUUGAGAGGCUCAAACCAACAAAGUAAGGGUGCAUGCAUGCCCUCAAUUGAAAAAAAAAACGAAAUGGCAAGUACAUGCUCUUGUUAUA